rnacentral:lncRNA from 1 species
GUUCUCUUGGAUGGUUGGCAUCUCCCACACUUCUGAAUGUGUUAAUCCUUGUUUAACCUCGGGAAGGCAGAGUCUCCUGACUGUGGCCACCAUUUCUGGUACAGUAGUGUCCCCUGUCUAUGUACUGACAGCCCAUGGCAUACUAUACUGAAAUGACCUCUUUGGCCGUCUGGUCCACAUGCUCACUUGUGGGUCCUAUGGUGCUGUCUUAGUCUAACUUCCCUUGACCGCUUCUACUUCAAGAUAAACACACUUUCUCAAUUAUCUGCUUCAAUACCCAGUAUCCCGGAAGGAAGGAAUAUCAACCAUUCAGCAACAGAUUCCAAGAUUAAGUGCAUGAGCAAGAGUUUGAUCAAGUCUCCAUGGUGACGUGCUACAAAGAAGACACUGUUGGAUAAGAUCAAAUGGGAAUAGAAUUGCAAAGCAGGCACAGUUCCAGAAGCUUCCUUGUCUUUUGGAUGAUAAGAGAGAGAUGAUUUGAAAAAUCAAAUAGCCAAGUCUUUGAAGGGCGAAAAUCCUUAACAGUAUGUUACAGAUGAAGAAACAGAUUUUCAGAGAGGCAAGCAACUGAUCAAGCUCGUGUAGUCAAGCAACAAAGCUAGAGUCCUACCCAGCUGCUUAGGGAUGACACCUGUUGGUGGCAGGAACCAAAAGACACUUUGAGAAAUGCAGCUUUACCCAGCUGACUGAGAUCAGGGAAGAAUCCGAGAUCUUCCGCUCCCUUACCGGUUGCCCCUCGCUGAAGACAGCUCUCUAAAUUCACUUGCCGCCGGCCAUUACAUAUCCAAACUACUGAAAGAUUACUUUUGCUUUCUUUUCCAUCCCUUUAUUAUCUGCUCAUUUCAAAUAUCGAUUAAGCACCCCUGUGUGCCAGGCACUGUUCAAAUUUCUGAGUACAUAGCAAUAAACAAAACAGCCAAUAA